AGAAUCAACGCUGGCGGCGUGCCUAACACAUGCAAGUCGAACGCGAAGACCCCGCAAGGGGUUGUUAGCGUGGCAAACGGGUGAGUAACGCGUGGGCGACCUACCUCAGAGUGGGGGAUAACCUUCCGAAAGGGAGGCUAAUACCGCAUGACAUGCCUUGUUUAGAUACAGGGACAUCAAAGCCGGGGAUCGUAAGACCUGGCGCUUGGAGAGGGGCCCGCGUCCGAUUAGCUAGUUGGUGGGGUAACGGCUCACCAAGGCUCCGAUCGGUA
rnacentral:rRNA from 1 species